AUACUUACCUGGUUUUCCCAGGGUGAGGCUUAUCCAUUGCACUCCGGAUGUGUUGACCCCUGUGAUUUCCCCAAAUGUGGGAAACUCAACUGCAUAAUUUGUGGUAGUGGGGGACUGCAUUUGUGCUUUCCCCUG
ensembl:snRNA U1 U1 spliceosomal RNA